AGGAGACUCAAGCUCCCUGCUCACAAGAAAUUAAUCUCAGUUAACUCAUAUGACUUCUGAAUAGGUUAUGUGCUCUUCAUUAACAGAGUGGACUGUGCAUCAAUGCAAGGGUCUGCCAAUGAGCAAGACUUGGUCCAAGUGCUGGGUGACGAGCUUUUCUCUACAUGGGAAAAGGGAGAAUGCUGCAAAGGGAGAAGCAGCAGUUACUGAAAGUAAGAAGCUGAAAAACUACGAAGAUCCCAUUUUGCCAAUCCACAGCCAUCAGUUAACAAAUUACUAAAACACUUCCCAGAAAAAGCAGUCGCUAAUGUGUGCAUCUAUCCUUGUAUGCAUUGUGUCACCAACUCCAGAAGAUUUCCACAGCUAUGUCACUGUUUAGUCAAAAACUUUCAAGGUCAAAUUAACCCAGUGUAAUGUCAUGGUGAGCUCAAAGGAACUCCUUUGGUCAUUUCAUGCCUACCCAUGUGGAAGAACGGGAAGUGAAACAGUUAACUGUUGUCAAGCAGGAAGAAAACAUCAUUCCUUUGGCUCACUAGCUGUUCUCACAUAGGAAACCCUAAAUGUGUGGUUUUCUUAAUCGAUUGAGUCCUUCCUGUCCAAAAAAGGGAAAAAAAGUCUCAACAUAUACCUACCUGAACCUAUCUGUGAAAUCCUCUGGAGUGGAAAAAAAUCAGUGCAUUUUUGUUAGUUUGGGACUUUAUUUUUUUUUUCCAAAUGACAACAGAUAAAAUAAGAAGUUUUGCUGAAAUAAAAAAUCAUUCUAGGCCUCAAAUGGCAACUUAUCAUUGUAAAAAUGUGUCAAAUUGGUCACAGUAGCUUUUGGAAUGUUUACAUUUGUUCAGGAAAGAUUUGGCAAAAUGUAUGCUGAAAAUGUUUUGAUUCCACUAAAAAUCUACUUCUUUAUAGAAUACCGGGAAAAAAAGAAAAGAUUGGUAAAAGAAACUUUUACUGAGCUAAACUGACAGGUGACUUUUGGGUUAUGAAUUAUGUUAAAUGAAGAAAAGUCUUCUAACUGUUGUUCAAGUCACUGCUUAUUCUACUUGUCUAUCUUUGUCCUUUUAGCACUGCUGUGUUUCUCAUAUUUGCAAGACUGCACCCUUCCAUUCAAAGCAUUACACAGAUUUUAUCUGAGGUCCAGAUGUCCAACAGCAAACUGAAAAUUUCUUCCUCUAGGUCUGACAAUUUUUUCCUAUUUUUCUCUUAAUAUACAGAAAUUAUUUCACUGCAACCACAUAAUAAAUCUUUGUAAAGAAGACUUUGCACAGCAUAUAUAGCCAUAAUUAAGAGUCAGCACUGUGAAGGCAUAGGUGACUUGUAAUCUUCUAUGAUAGAUAUUUCUAUCAAAAGGUAAUUGAAAAUUUAAAUAAAUAAAUAAACAAAUAAAUAAAUGAAUGAAGAAAAGUUAAGUGUGGAUAAAGCACAAGAACCAGGACAAUGCUUCUAAAAAAGUUGUACAGAAUAGGGACCUGUUUUUCAGCUCAUGAGUAAAUCAAAUAAAACGCAUUACAUGAGCCUCCUUAAGCAAAUACUCUAUGUACACUCAUAUUGCUUAGUUCAAGCUGAUAGCUGUAUAAAACAAGCUCUCCCCAGUGUGUUACACAUUUGAGACCCUUGGGAUUUCUCUUAUAUUUUUUUGCAAUUUAUUUCUUAUAAACUAAUCUUCUACUUCCUUUUCCAGUGUGGAAAGAUGUUUUAUUGCUAUGCUGUUUAGUUUAGCAAUGGCAGCAUGCCAUAGACAACACUCUUGUAAGGAUAUAAAGCAAAUUUAACAUUUUCAGUUCCAAAAUGCAGAGUUGUACUGGGAUAGACACACUCUUGUUUCCAAAUGAACUGAACUUCUUGAAUCUCAGCCACCACUCAGGGUGAUGUUUUCUCUCUGCAUUUAAUCAAAAGAAUUAUUUCUGCAGUCUAUUUGUUUCACACUUAAUGCACUAUCUGGUAGGCUACACUCUUAUCUACAUGGCCAAAGUAAAUUAUUUCAAGCAUUUCAAAAGAUCAUCAAUAAGUUAGUGACAAUGCUAAAUAUUUUUUUGUUCGCUCCUGCUCUUUGGAAUAGCCUGGAAUGCUAAUUCUUGCCCCUGUGGAUAUAGCAUAUGUAUGAGCAUCAGCAAAUAUGGGACACAGAAGAGAGCAAACAGCAAGGGUAUGUAACCAUACAUGGAAAAAAAAAAAAUCAGUACUGCCACAAAUAUGAAAUUUUUCAGUCUGGAAUUUUGUUUGGGAAACCUGACCAAGAGGUGCUCACAGUUCAGACCACAGAAUACUUUUUGGUACUUAUUGCCUUAAAAAAAGAACUUCCUCAAUAGGAUGUUUUUGUGUCUCUGACAUCAUGAGUUCAGAACAAAUUACAGUAUUAAAACAUUCUAGCACUUGUUCAGUGUGCAAAGUAAAUGCAAAAUACCUAUUGCAGAGAAUCAAGAUAUGAGUUGGAAGACAAAACCGCAUAGACACUCAGGCACACUCUUUUUUGUAAGAAGCCUAAAAACCCAAGGUUAAAUUUUUUAAGUGGCUGAAAAAGAAAGUUUAUAAUUUUGACUUGAGCUGCCUAAUAAGAUUUUCAUCUUUCAGACAUGACAUUUAGCUUGUAAACCAAGAAUGCAAUUAACUGAACAACUUAAUGCAGGAAUCAAAACUUUUUAUCUGAGAAACAGUGGCUUGAAAUUUGAGAUAAUUUUUCUUUAUGCUGUCCAGUUAAUCAUAAAAAUUAACCCUCCUAUUUAACAUCUUAGCAACAUGUAAUCUAAAAUCAAAGCUUUAUUCAGUGUUUUGGCUGUUGUUGUGCCUGACAGUAAAUUCUACCAUGUGAGUUCUAGAUGUAUAUUUAGGGUAUCUGGAGCAUGAAACUCUGGUUUUGGUGAGAGUUUCCAAUCAGCACAAUGGUGUAUAGUAAAUAUUCCUAUUAUAAUUUUCAGUAGUCAUUUUCUGUUCCAAUAGGAAAGAAAUUAUAGACAAGGAAUGAGGAUAAACAACAUCUCACUCCACUUUGUGCUCAUCAAAUUUUAUACUGUUUUUGAUUUAUUGAUGUAGCAUUAGGUUCUCCUUCUAUUUAUUUUUUCUUCCUUAUCACUAAGAUUAAAAACCCAUCCUGGGAUAAUGACAUUUGGGCAGAUAUUAGUGAGAGUAAAUGCAAGUGUGUUCCAAAAAGAAUUGUUUGAAUUUGCACAAUUUCUAAUUCAAAAUUUAAGUAAAAAGAAUGAAAUUUCUGUCUAAGUUCUUCUUUUUUCAGAACUAGCAAUCUAUCCCUAGAAUCAGUUGUGAUGACCUCUAAUCUCACUAGCAAAAUGUUUGUUUACAGAAAAGCUAUUUGUUGGAUUUACCAUAAUUGACCACAGUAAUUAUGGUGAGGGGAAUUUGUGUCUCAUUUAGAAUACUACUGGAUAGCUUUUCUAGCAAUAUAGGUAGUUUAAGUCUUUAAUCUCCCACAAGCACAUUUUCAACAUAUAAACUGUGGGACUUAAGAGCCCUCAUGUUUGUUUAUGUGUCCAGAAACUUGCAGUUCUUUCAUCGCCUGUCUGUACGCCCAGGAGAUGUGUCAAGAGUGGUGGCAGAAGCUACAGACUAGGUUUCCAGGACAAGCAGAGGCAGAACAAGUUCACUCCCCAUAUCUCUGUACCUGCCUGCAUUCUCUGUACCUGUCUCACAGGGAUCAGUGCCCCAGCAGCUAAAGUAAGUCAUCUGCUUGCUCAAUCAGUGGCCAUGUAGGUUUUUCCAUGGGAGGCCGGUUUUGGAUUCUACAGUCAAGAAUUUUGCUUUCACUACAACCCCCAGGCGGUUUCAAACCAGCAGCAUAAAGGAGAUGGUUUCCUCCAGUUGGGAAAGCCCCCAGCCUUCAAAUUCCCGAAUUAUCAGAUGCAGCCUUCAGCUGAGGAGUCUGAAUGAGAGUUCAGCAAAGGGAACUGCCCUGACCUGUGAUGUGUCACAGGCUGGGCUAUUUCAACAUACAGAAUGAGUCAUUUAUUGAGAGCUACUCCACAGGCUUGCUUUAAAAAUCAGAGCUUGGAUAAGAGAUCUGGUUUCUCGUUCUUCUGGCUUUUGACUGCUUCUCAGGCAGCAUUCCUGGUUCUAUGAUACAAAGUGAUUAGUAUAUCGUAAAUGUGAGUUAGGAUUUAGUUCCCCUCUUUGCCUCCCAACUGCUGCGUGCUAAGGUCAUGGCACUAAUUCCUGAGGCAUUUUGACAGUCUAUGUAUGACUAGAGAGCUGUAACCAAAGUUUGAAAGAGUAUAUGCUAGCAAUGCAUGGCUAUGAAAAAACAUGCAUAUAUCUACAAAUUUAAUACUUCGGUAUUCAUCAAUUGCAUAUCAAGGUUGUUUACAUUUUUUUUUUAUUUUCUACAUUUAAUGAAAAAAUUAUACAGGAUUAAAUUGCUUAAUUAAUGUAAACAUACUCUUACAAAAUAAAAGCUAAAAAAAUAAAAAAUUACUAGCAAAGUGAAUGGUCAAUGAAUAUCACUUUAUUGUUGCUAUGUUUACUAAAAUGUCCACAGUACCCCAGCCCUGUAGAGCUGAAAUGCAACUUUAAAAUUAUCCAGUCAGGAGCAAGUAGUCGUCAGGCUCUUCUUCGUUUAAUGUGAAAGCCCCAAAGAAAGGCCUUGUGUUUUUUUCUGAGUGCUAGUUUGAGAGCUCAUUGCAACACUUCAUCAUUUCAAGGUGAGCUAAGGCAUCUGCCCUAUGUCAGAAGAGGUUUGAUGUAAUCCAGUGUCAUGGUUUUGUUCUGAUUUAAUAUCACUCUAUGCAAUUUGAUAAUUUUUUUACCAGGAAAUGGACAUGGGGCCACAGGAGCUUGUUUUGUAAGGGAAUGAGAUGUACAAGCACUUUGAAUAUCACAGUUUACCCAGAACUGUGCAGCUGAGAACAUUCCACUAGUGCUCAAAGGUCACCAUCUCAUGGGUUGCAUAUAGGCACAUAUCACACACCAUAACCAAUCAUCUCUCCUCAACGCAGCAAAAACCAGCAUGAACAGCUCACAGCAGGAUGGAGGAGAAAGCCUAACAAAGAGAAAUCGCCUUUUCCAGGGCCUUGGAUGAGACCCUGAAAUGAAGUGAGCAAGGCUAAGAUUCACUGAUUAACACCGUUUAUAAGUGUCAGUAGUUGGCACGGCUCUGAGAGGAAACAUUUUAUUUUGUUUUUGGGGAAAUGCAAUCUAUGCUGCUUCAUUAUGAGAAUAUUUCAUUUUAAAAUAAACAGAUCUGAAUGUGUUGAGAAAUAAGGUGAAAACAUGCUUUCUCUAUAAAUAAACAGAGUAGUGAGGAUAUGAAUUGAUGUGAUUUUUCCUGAUGGAACGUGAGUUUGACUCCAAAAAGCAAAUCUGAUUUGUCAGAUGAUAAAGGUUAGAGCUGCCUUUAAAUUCUAUAGCUGUUUUUGUUAAUGUUAAACAAACUACAUAAAAUAAACCAUAUAGCGUGGGUAGGAAAAAAGCACUGUGAAUACA